rnacentral:rRNA from 1 species
AUUGAACGCUGGCGGCAUGCCUUACACAUGCAAGUCGAGCGGCAGCGCGCGGGCAACCCUUGCGGCGAGCGGCGGACGGGUGAGUAAUACAUCGGAACGUGUCCUUGCGUGGGGGAUAACCAGUCGAAAGACUGCAUAAUAAGGCAUGAGAUCUCACAAUGAAAGCGGGGGACCGCAAGGCCCCGCGCGAUUGGCGCGGCCGCUGUAGGAUUAGCAAGUGGGCGGGGUAAAAGCACACCACGGCGACAAUCCGUAGCUGGUUUGAGAGAACGACCAGCCACACUGGGACUGAGACACGGCCCAGACUCCUACGGGAGGCAGCAGUGGGGAAUUUUGGACAAUGGGGGCAACCCUGAUCCAGCCAUGCCGCGUGUGUGAAGAAGGCCUUCGGGUUGUAAAGCACUUUCGGCCGGAACGAAAUCGCGCGGAUUAAUAACCCGCGUGGAUGACGGUACCGGAAGAAGAAGCACCGGCUAACUACGUGCCAGCAGCCGCCGCCG